rnacentral:rRNA from 1 species
GACGAACGCUGGCGGCGUGCCUAAUACAUGCAAGUCGAACGAGAGCAACCGGUGCUUGCACUGGUCAAUCUAGUGGCGAACGGGUGAGUAACACGUGGGUAACCUGCCCAUCAGAGGGGGAUAACAUCCGGAAACGGAUGCUAAAACCGCAUAGGUCUUCGAACCGCAUGGUUUGAAGAGGAAAAGAGGCGCACGCUUCUGCUGAUGGAUGGACCCGCGGUGCAUUAGCUAGUUGGUGAGGUAACGGCUCACCAAGGCCGUGAUGCAUAGCCGACCUGAGAGGGUGAUCGGCCACAUUGGGACUGAGACACGGCCCAAACUCCUACGGGAGGCAGCAGUAGGGAAUCUUCCGCAAUGGACGCAAGUCUGACGGAGCAGCGCCGCGUGAGUGAAGAAGGUUUUCGGAUCGUAAAACUCUGUUGUUAGAGAAGAACAAGUGCUAGAGUAACUGUUAGCGACUUGACGGUAUCUAACCAGAAAGCCACGGCUAACUACGUG